CCCUGCCAUUUGUACACACCGCCCGUCGCUCCUACCGAUUUUGAGUGAUGUGGUGAACCUUCUGGACUGCGUCCGGGUUCAACCCGGAUGUGGGAAGUUAAGUAAACCUUAUCACUUAGAGGAAGGAGAAGUCG
rnacentral:rRNA from 1 species